rnacentral:lncRNA from 1 species
UGACACAGAAGGCUUCUGAUAAGAUAACAAACAGCAAAGCAGAAACAAAAUAGGACUUGAUUUUUCUUUCUUGGCCUUAUGCAUAAGCAUCUAUUCUAUUACCUGAGGGGCAUAUUGAUGUGGGACACCUCCUAAUGACUUCAGCGAAUGAAAACAAGUCCUUGUGGCCUGCUUGACGAACGACAAAGACAUCGUAAAUU